rnacentral:rRNA from 1 species
UACGUAGGUGGCAAGCGUUGUCCGGAUUUACUGGGCGUAAAGGGCGUGCAGGCGGUUUGUUAAGUGCAGGGUGAAAGCUCCCGGCUUAACUGGGAGAGGCCAAUGGAUACUGCCAAGCUUGAGUAUAGGAGAGGUUACUGGAAUUCCCGGUGUAGCGGUGAAAUGCGCAGAUAUCGGGAGGAACACCAAUGGCGAAAGCAGGUAACUGGACUAUUACUGACACUCAACUGCGAAAGCUAGGGGAGCAAACAGG